GACGAACGCUGGCGGCGUGCCUAAUACAUGCAAGUCGAACGCUUCUGCUUUGACUGAUGCUUGCAUCGACUAAAGUUAGAAGAGUGGCGAACGGGUGAGUAACACGUGGGUAACCUGCCCAUCAGAGGGGGACAACACUUGGAAACAGGUGCUAAUACCGCAUAACAAGUGAAACCGCAUGGUUUCAUUUUGAAAGGCGCUUCUGGUGUCACUGAUGGAUGGACCCGCGGUGCAUUAGCUAGACGGUGAGGUAACGGCUCACCGUGGCGAUGAUGCAUAGCCGAACUGGGAGGGUGAUCGGCCACAUUGGGACUGAGACACGGCCCAAACUCCUACGGGAGGCAGCAGUAGGGAAUCUUCGGCAAUGGACGCAAGUCUGACCGAGCAACGCCGCGUGAGUGAUGAAGGUUUUCGGAUCGUAAAACUCUGUUGUUAGAGAAGAACAAGAGAAGUAGUAACUGGCUUCUCCUUGACGGUAUCUAACCAGAAAGCCACGGCUAACUACGUGCCAGCCGCCGCGGUAAAAC
rnacentral:rRNA from 1 species